AUUCCAGAGCCUUUUCAAUGGAGGACUUUUCAUUACAACCUCUGUGGCCGAGAGUCUCUUAAAAACAAUCCAUUAAGGCUUUUAUGUGAAUUUCACCUGGAUGAACCAAACAACAAGGUGCUUGGGAUUAGAACAACGAAUAGUCCAGCUUUGUUUAAAAAUAAUUAUGAACCAGUGUGGGAAAAGUUAUGAUAAAUCUACAAACUUGCUCUUGCUUACAGCUCUAGGUACUAGGAAGAGUUAAUGCAGCUGACACACUUUCAGCUAAUACCAAACAAAUUAAACUUUUGCAUGUUGAAGAAUG